UACGUAGGGUGCGAGCGUUAAUCGGAAUUACUGGGCGUAAAGCGUGCGCAGGCGGUUUUGUAAGCCAGAUGUGAAAUCCCCGGGCUCAACCUGGGAAUGGCAUUUGGGACUGCAAGGCUUGAGUGCGGCAGAGGAGACUGGAAUUCCUGGUGUAGCAGUGAAAUGCGUAGAUAUCGAGAGGAACACCUGCGGCGAAGGCGGGUUGCUGGGCUGACACUGACGCUGAUGCGCGAAAGCCAGGGGAGCGAACGGG
rnacentral:rRNA from 1 species